AUUGAACGCUGGCGGCAUGCCUUACACAUGCAAGUCGAACGGCAGCGGACCUUCGGGUGCCGGCGAGUGGCGAACGGGUGAGUAAUAUAUCGGAACGUACCUUUCAGUGGGGGGAUAACGUAGCGAAAGUUACGCUAAUACCGUAUAUUCUGUGAGCAGGAAAGCAGGGGAUCGCAAGACCUUGCGCUGAUUGAGCGGCCGAUAUCAGAUUAGCUAGUUGGUGAGUAAAGGCUCACCAAGGCGACGAUCUGUAGCGGGUCUGAGAGGAUGAUCCGCCUCACUGGAACUGAGACACGGUCCAGACUCCUACGGAGGCAGCAGUGGGGAAUUUUGGACAAUGGGCGCAAGCCUGAUCCAGCCAUGCCGCGUGAGUGAAGAAGGCC
rnacentral:rRNA from 1 species